CGGAGGCAGCAGUGAGGAAUAUUGGACAAUGGGCGAAAGCCUGAUCCAGCAAUGCCGCGUGAGUGAUGAAGGCCUUAGGGUUGUAAAGCUCUUUUACCCGGGAUGAUAAUGACAGUACCGGGAGAAUAAGCCCCGGCUAACUCCGUGCCAGCAGCCGCGGUAAUACGGAGGGGGCUAGCGUUGUUCGGAAUUACUGGGCGUAAAGCGCACGUAGGCGGCUUUGUAAGUUAGAGGUGAAAGCCCGGAGCUCAACUCCGGAAUUGCCUUUAAGACUGCAUCGCUUGAACGUCGGAGAGGUAUGUGGAAUUCCGAGUGUAGAGGUGAAAUUCGUAGAUAUUCGGAAGAACACCAGUGGCGAAGGCGACAUACUGGACGACUGUUGACGCUGAGGUGCGAAAGCGUGGGGAGCAAACAGGAUUAGAUACCCCAGUAC
rnacentral:rRNA from 1 species